AGCACUGAAACAGAUGUACAUUUUGUUUUCUUAGUAGACAAAGCAGCCAUUGUGAAAGCUGAAGGAUAUCACCAAUGGGUGGUAAUGCUGACAGCAGAAAAUCAAAGAAACCUUAGCACUAAGGCAACAGUAUAACAUAAAAAAAUGUGUCAGCUCUCCGUGGCCACGCAGAUUAUCACUCACAUCAUGAUGGAAGACAGAUUCAAGAAUGACACAAUCGCCUUCCUCCACCCACAGACCUUGGAUUCCUGCCAUUGGCUACACCCCUCCAACUAAUGUGGAACAUGAAGCUAUGUCUGGUCCCAUAUGUCCAUAAAUGGAAGGAAGGACAGCACAGAUGAUGUAGGAAUGAAUGAAUGAAGCAAGCGUCCACAGUUUCUUUGCUGACUGUAGAUCCCUAACACAGGCAUAGCAAGGCUUAUUUUUAAUGGAUUCAUUUUAUUCUGUUUUUCAGACAGGAGUGUCAUUUCAUUGUCAGGUUGUUGUUUUAAAAAUGAAGUAAAUUAAUCUAACUAUAAGCUUUAUCCCAGCUGUUGAGGUGAGAGCAGAUCUCUUCUGUCUGAGCAUACUAGCAGCAAAUAAACUAUGCAGAAUGUUUGUUUGGCUGAAACCACUGCAUAAGUAGUUAUAUAAGUGCACUUGAAAUGUUCCGAAUUCUUUUGUUUACUGAGAAAUCCUUCAUCUUUUGUAAAUUAAAAACUCAAAGUUAUUCUUACUUCAACUAUUCCGUAUUCUUAUGCCCUGUAUCAAUCAUUAUUCUUUGGAUUAUUAACAAAACUUUACUGAGUAUCAUGUUAAACAAUUAUAGGACAAAUAAUACCACAGAUGACUGUUGCUUCCCAGGGUUUGUAUUUAUCAUCACCCGUAUUAGUAAUAGUUCAAGGCCUGAUCUUAUGUCCCAUUCUCAUAUCAGUACUCCUUAAAGUCAAUGGGAGCAUUUGCAUGAGUAAUGGGUAUGCACUUCAAUAUGGCGUGCAAGAUGAGGCCAUUAAGCUGAAGGAAGGACUAUAUAUAGAAACAUUAAGGCACAGUGAUGUUGGGGAAGAAUGUGCAGGUGCACCGCCCUACAUAAAUGCCAGAAAGAAUUAUUGCUGAAGUAGACACAGUAUUUGGAUCCCUGCAUCUCAGAGAGUGCUGUUGAUCACCCUUGGAAAGAGUAAUGUCUUUUCCCCUGAGUGGCUAGCCAUGGUUCCACACACUCUCUAUCCUCCCUCACCCAGUUUGGAGAAGUUAGCACUGCAGUGUCAUUAGCCUCACAGAGACCUUACACUCUGUGGAAGCUGCUUAGGGUAUUGGCACUGCAUUUGGCAAAAUAUACAAAAUGUGUAACACACAUACGUGCACACAAACACACACACGCAUUGGAUAGUAUCCAGGGAAAGAGAGAACCAUACAGAGAGCAAUAGCAAAAAACACUAUGAGUUUAUUCAGGAUGCUGGAAAAUUUGUAUAGCGGGGGUGCUGAGAGCCAUCGAACCAACCUGUAAACCCUGUAUAUGAUCGAAACCACUUCAAGCCGGGGGUGUGGCCAUAGGUGCUGGAAUAAGGGUGCUGGGGGUGCUGCCACACCCCGUGGCUUGAAAUUGUUUCCAUUAUAUACAGGGUUUACAGUCUGGUUCACUGGCUCUCAGCUUCCCCCCAUACACAUUUUUCCAGUACCCUUUGUUGCACCAGCACCCCCAGCAUCUCUUGUUCCAGCACGUAUGAGUCCAUUAAAAAAAAUCAAAAUCCUUUCUGAAUUCCAUUUAUUUCUCCUCCUUGAUCACUACCUUUCCCUAGGCUUUGGCUCAUCUGGUCCAGAAGUUAAUGCAUAAUUGAAGGCAUGAUUUUCCUCUCAUGCCAGCAGAACUCCACUGGCAUUAUUUCUGAUUUACACUUCGUUAAAUGAGAGUAGCAUCAGCUGUAAGUGAUGGAAUUCAACUCAUUUAAAACUUUUUAAAUUAAAAAAACCAUACAACUGUAUUUAAAUUUCUCAUAAUGGAAAAAUAUUAUUGUACAUACAUUAUCAGAGAUAGGUACGCAUAGAAACAUGAAACAUGCCCACUAUCUUCUUUCACUUCCAAAGAAAAAAAAUGUCUUGAAUGUCUGUUGAGUACUAGGAGGCAGCUAUAUUUUUAUGGUAUUCAACACUGAUUUAUGUUUUAUUUCUGGAAGCAUAUUAAGAACUAGGAAAAGUCUUAUUCAAGAUGAAUAGUGGAUAAUGUCUCACUUUCCCAAUACCCCUCUGUUCAGAAAUACUUCCACUGGUGUGAGUUGUCAUAGCUUUUUGAAGUCAACACAGCUACAACAAUUUAAACCAGUUGAGGAUAUGUGCCAUUGAUGUUCUAUGAUUUGUCCCAUAUCUAACGACAAAGUAUCUUCUUGAAGAACAGUGGACAUUCUUAAUGGAACACCAGAGGCUACAUUUAGAGCUAAGAGAAUACUAGAAACAACAUUUUCUGUUCUAAUUUUAACAUUCAUUCCCCUUCUAUGUUUGCUUUCUGUCAGAAUUCUAGAAAAUGAGUUUAUUGCCAGGAACGUUUGCAGAAACAAAAACAUUACUCUAAUAUAGCAGAAUAUACACAAAGUUAAUAUUGAAUUUAUAAUCACCAUUAGCUGCACUGGAAAUCUGAUUCUUGGAGUUGGAUUCAGUCCAACAGGGAACAGGAGCCUAUCAUGUGAUCCAUAAGUACCAAACAAUUCAAAUGGCAAAUAUUUUUUACACUUAAAAAAUGGCACACAAAACAAUCUGUAGACCAAUUUGGACAAUCUGGGGACAAAAAGAGAGUCAGAUGUGGUCCAAAUAAAUCAUUAGGGAGGAAGUAUUUGUCUGAACUGAAUUGUUCAAAAAUGAGUUUAUUCACACACUAACAUUGGCAUUCUCAUGUUUGUUACAACAUUAUAAUUUUAAUCUUGGCGUAUUAUAUUCUGUUGGAUUCAAACCAUGUAUUUGUCCUUCCCAAGUGCUAGCAUAAGCAGGCUAUUGAUAACUGGUUAUUGAUCAAUUAUUAAUUGAUUACCAGUAAUUGAUAACAAUUUAACUAUGAUUAUAUGUUUAUGUCUAUAUGUUUAAUGAGAGGGGUUCUUUCAAAUCUGGAUUAGUUUAAUAAUUAACAAACCUCCAAUAAAUCAUCUUUGAUUGGAUUUACUGAUGUAACAGUUAGUAAAGACAGCACACACAGAGAGAGGCAUAGUUACCAAUUACUGCAGAAGACCUUCCCCAACGCCCGUAGUUCUCUCUGACAGCCUGCGUUCAAUCUCCAGAUGGUCUUAUUUUCUCUUGAUUUCUUAGGGUAAUUAUAUCCUUAUUACUCUAUUGUUUAUCAUUCCAACCCUUAUCUAUUUAUUCCUUUUGGUACAUUCUUCUUAUCUCAGGUUAUUUUCUAAGUUCCUUAUUCCCGUGUAAUGUUCCAACUACCUCAACACCUUAUGGUUAGUUAUUAUUUAUUUCCUUUGUUGAGGUAAUGAUAUUUCUUAUACCUCUU